rnacentral:rRNA from 1 species
ACUCAAAGGAAUUGACGGGGACCCACACAAGCGGUGGAGCAUGUGGUUUAAUUCGAUAGUAAGCGAGGAACCUUACCAGGUCUUGACAUGGGGAGAACACCGAAGAAACUCGGUGGUGCCCGCAAGGGAGCUCUCACACAGGUGCUGCAUGGUUGUCGUCAGCUCGAGCCUUGAGGUGUGCGGUUAAGUCCGUGAUCGAGCGCAACCCUUACCCUCUGUUAUAUAUUUCUGAGGGGACUGCCGUGCCACAAGCCGGAGGAAGGUGGGGAUGACGUCAAAUCAGCAUGGCCCUUACGGCCUGGGCUACUCACGUGCUACAAUGGCGAGUCACAAAGCGAAGCGAAGGAGCAAUCCGGAGCAAAUCGUCAAAACUCGCCUCAGUUCGGAUUGGGGGCUGCAACUCGCCCCCAUGAAGCUGGAAUCGCUAGUAACCGUGAAUCAGCUACGUCACGGUGAAUAUGUUCCUGGGUCUUGUACACACCGCCCGU